rnacentral:tRNA from 1 species
GAGCCCGUAGCAUAGUCUGGUUGGUGCGCUCGACUGAUAAUCGAGUGGUCGCGUGUUCGAAUCACGCCGGGCUCA